rnacentral:rRNA from 1 species
UACGUAGGCAGCAAGCGUUGUUCGGAGUUACUGGGCGUAAAGGGUGCGUAGGCGGCGCGGUAAGUCGGGUGUGAAAUCUCGGAGCUUAACUCCGAAACUGCAUUCGAUACUGCCGUGCUUGAGGACUGGAGAGGAGACUGGAAUUUACGGUGUAGCGGUGAAAUGCGUAGAUAUCGUAAGGAAGACCAGUGGCGAAGGCGGGUCUCGUGGGCCGAUACUGACGCUGAGGAGCGAAAGCGUGGGGAGCGAACAGG